UUGGCUAAAAAAAGGCCUGGGAGUUAGUUGAAGGAGGUACAGCUCCUUUAAUAAGGAUACAACUAGAAAAGAAGGGUAAAGAUCCAACGAACAUAAGGAUUAGUACUACGGUGGGCCUGAAAGCAGCCACCCGAGAAGAAAGCGUUAAAGCUCAAGUACACGACCUCCAAUUAUUACGACAAGCACAUCUCACCCCCCUACUAAUAGUAGACCCUUGUAUAAUGAAUAUACAAACGAUUAUGCUAAAAUGAGUAAUAAGAAAGUCAAAGGCUUUCUCCUAGCACAUGUGUAAAGCGGAACAAACUAAUCGCCGCUAACUAAUGCCCCCACUGAAAGAGGGAAUUAAGAUAAAAGUUAGACACCCGGAAGACUACUUAAUGAGAAGCAUUAAACCUACACUGGAGUGCACACUAGGAAAGACUAAAAGGGAGGAAAGGAACUCGGCAAACAGAAGCCUCGCCUGUUUACCAAAAACAUCGCCUCUUGCUUACUAAGGAUAAGAGGUCACGCCUGCCCUGUGACAAUUAGUUUAACGGCCGCGGUAUUUUGACCGUGCGAAGGUAGCGCAAUCACUUGUCUCUUAAAUGGAGACCUGUAUGAAUGGCGCGACGAGGGCUUAACUGUCUCUCUUUUCAAGUCAAUGAAAUUGAUCUCCCCGUGCAGAAGCGGGGAUGAAUACAUAAGACGAGAAGACCCUAUGGAGCUUG
rnacentral:rRNA from 1 species